AUUGAACGCUGGCGGCAGGCCUAACACAUGCAAGUCGAGCGGUUGACGGGAGCUUGCUCCCUGACUCAGCGGCGGACGGGUGAGUAAUGCCUAGGAAUCUGCCUAUUAGUGGGGGACAACGUUUCGAAAGGAAUGCUAAUACCGCAUACGCCCUACGGGGGAAAGCAGGGGAUCUUCGGACCUUGCGCUAAUAGAUGAGCCUAAGUCGGAUUAGCUAGUUGGUGGGGUAAAGGCCUACCAAGGCGACGAUCUGUAGCGGGUCUGAGAGGAUGAUCCGCCACACUGGGAAUGAGACACGGCCCAGAUUCCUACGGGAGGCAGCAGUGGGGAAUAUUGGACAAUGGGCGGAAGCCUGAUCCAGCCAUGCCGCGUGUGUGAAGAAGGCCUUUUGGUUGUAAAGCACUUUAAGCGAGGAGGAGGCUACCUGGAUUAAUACUCUAGGAUAGUGGACGUUACUCGCAGAAUAAGCACCGGCUAACUCUGUGCCAGCCGCCGCCGUAACAC
rnacentral:rRNA from 1 species